AGUGAACGCUGGCGGUAGGCCUAACACAUGCAAGUCGAACGGCAGCACAGUAAGAGCUUGCUCUUACGGGUGGCGAGUGGCGGACGGGUGAGGAAUACAUCGGAAUCUACUUUUUCGUGGGGGAUAACGUAGGGAAACUUACGCUAAUACCGCAUACGACCUACGGGUGAAAGCAGGGGAUCUUCGGACCUUGCGCGAUUGAAUGAGCCGAUGUCGGAUUAGCUAGUUGGCGGGGUAAAGGCCCACCAAGGCGACGAUCCGUAGCUGGUCUGAGAGGAUGAUCGCCCAAAUUGGACUGAGACACGGGCCCAACCCCUAAGGGAGGCCACAGGGGGGAAAAAUGGACAAUGGGGCGAAACCUGAUCCAGCCAAUCCGCGUGGGGGAAAAAGGGCCUUGGGGUGUAAAGUCCUUUUAGUUGGGAAAAAAAAAGAGCAGGUUAAACCCCCGCUGUUUGAAGGGACCCCAAGAAAAAGGACCGGCUAAACUCGUG
rnacentral:rRNA from 1 species